ACUGUUUUGGGAAUGUUCCAUUGUUCAACAAAGAGUUGAAUAUUCUUGUUAGGACAGGUGUUAAGUAAUUUUUAGUUGCUUUAAGUAAUUCACUUUGCAAACCAUCUGGUCCGGACGACAUUUUCAAAU